UCUCUGGUAGUAUGUCGGUUAGUACACGCGCCUGUUAUUUGGAGAUUAUAUUCAUGAACGCGCGAAAGCUGGGUUCGACUCCCAGCCAGAGAG